AUGGUUAAAGCCCUGAGAAAUAUGAAAUCUAUAAGCCUUGUGGUGACACUGUUAGUUCUCCCUCCACCCCCAGGUCUGAGUGCACUCAUCGAGUGCCACAGUCACGGCCAGCCCCCCCUCUACCUCUGCCAGGUGUGUGGGUGUAAAGUCUUCCAGAACGCCAUCAUCGUCCAUGUAACCACAGACUGCCACCGGCUUUCCUACCUGAGGUCGCUGAAGACAGUGGUUGUCCCCAAAGGGAACCAGCUCCAUAAGAAGUUGAGGAGAGCUGCCUUGAAGCUGGAGAGGACCAUGGGAUAUGGAGAGGCUGAGGUAACGGAGUUGGAUGCACACACUUACAAUUUUGUUGCAGAAAGAUCCUUUGCCAUUGGCCUGAACAUUGUAAUGAAGGUCAUAAAUGGUGACCCUUCACCUGACCCCCUACUGUUGGUCAGCCCUAAACCCCCUGACCCCUCACCCCAGGUCAGCCCUGACCCCUCACUCCAGGUGUCAGAGGUCAGCAACCCCACCAUGACCUCUACAGCUCUGUGGUCCUACCUGAAUGCCUCCACCAGGACACAGCCUGUCAUCGGUGUCAGUAUGUUGACAGAGUUGCCAGACAGACAUGGUGACUACUUCCUCUGCCGCUGCUGUUCUCACAGGAUGUUUACAUCAUCCCUCAUUGGACACCUAAUCUCUGCUCGACACCGCUACCACUACAUAAAACUAGUGUACCCUGAGCUGGCUGCUGAUUGGCCAGUGAGCCCAGAGCUGACGGUGAAGGCGGGGCCUCUUCAUGAGGAGCUGAGAGUGAGAGCUGCAGAACUGGAGGCACAGGAGGGACUAGGACAGCUCACGGUGGUAAAGAGAGAACCUGCUGCUGGAGACACAACCACUACCAAUACUGAAGGGACUGCCCAGCAGAGCCAGAACGGCUCACCUCCUCUCUCUGUGAAAGAGGAACCGGUUGACUCCACAGUACCAUCCCAGCCCCCUAGAGGAGAAAAGAGGAACAAGAGGAGGAGCAACCCUGUGGUUGGUGUGAACUUCCUGGUCCAGGUGUCCCACAGGAGAAGGAAACAGUACUACUGUCAGCUAUGUUCUGUCAGGAUGAAACACGCUAUUGCUGAUCACAUGACCAGCCUCAGCCACCGACACAACUAUGUGAGGUUGAAGUACCCUGGUUGGACCUCCAGCCCGGUAGAGAUGGAGAAGAAGCUGUUCAAAAUGGCCGUUCACCUGGAGAAGGUCGACAGAGACGCAGGAAUGGGCAUGCAGAAGGUAGAAGUGGAAGCUGAUGAGUACAAAGAGCUGUUGUCCUUUCCUGUGGAGGAAGGUGUCAGUAAACUGCAAGCCAUCAUCAGACGGCAACAAGAGCCAUGCGAUCUGAGACACACAGCUCCCUCGACCAAUCACAACCCAGAGGAUCUGAGACAGACAGCUCCCUUGUCCAAUCCCGAUGCAGCCCAAUGUCCAGCUCAAGGUAUGUGUGGGGCAGAGUCACGUGAGACCGAGGGAGUGUGUCCUCUCCCUGUCAGUCUAUCAGAGGAGGAGAAUGACCAGACGCUCCUGGUUCAGAUCUCAAGUGAGCCACAUAAAUAUCUCUAUCUGUCCAUAGGGGUGUGGUUCUUUACCUGA
ensembl:lncRNA